rnacentral:tRNA from 1 species
CAUAUUUAGUAUAUUAAAUAUAUUAGAUUUAGGUUCUGAAGAAAGUCAUAUGCU